AUUAAAGAAGACUUCUGUUCUGCCCAAACCAUUUAAACAGACCUGAAUCUACGAAGCAUCUAUGGAGUCGGCAGCUAUGCAGAGUCCCAGGAGCCGGCGUCAUCUGGCACAGGCCAGCAGCAGGGUUUUAACUGCAGUGUAGACAUACCCUUAUAGUACCCUGCACUCCUCUGCAGCUGCAUUGGGAUCCAAAGUACAGAGAUGCCCUGAGGAAUUUGGUCUUCAACCACAGAGAUCAUUGUACACUUAUCAGAACAAAGUAUUAUUGGCACAAGAAACUUGAGAGAAGACAGACUUACCAACUCUGUCUUUAACGCCAAGCCAGCAGUAGAAAACAAACUUUGGCUUUGAUAAUUAAAGUUUAUUAUCGCUGCUGAAAUAAAAGCUUUGUUGUAUAAGAAAUAGAUAAAUAA